AGGACUAUUUCUGUCGGAGUAAUUCAAGAGCACAGGAAUACGCAUACAGAUUCUGGCUUUGGUGAAAGUAAAAUUCGAAGUAUCGGACGAGAAACUCGGAACUAUUCGAUGGGAAACUCAGGCUAUCAGACGAGGAACUCGAACUGUCCGACGAGAAGCAGUUUCCUGUACCAUACACGAAGAAGAAAAAUAGAUGAUGGAACUACAGUUGCCGUAGGACUACUUUGCUACUUAACAUAGAAAUGCCAAUAGCCAGAGGUGCACUGCUACCCUGUCAAUGCCGGUCACCAGAGACGCGCUUGUAUCCAUCAGAGAUGUGCUGGACCCCUUAUGUCAACAUAGUAAUCAACUGUUUUCAACAAGCACUGUUCGAUGGGCAAGGUAGAUUGUUUAUAGUGGAUCUCAAGCCUUGAUGGCAAACUGUCUGUAUUUGCCGUAUCGUGCUGAUGGUAGAGAGCUCUUCCCCACCUUGUGCACAUAACAGAAAAUCUUUG